GGAGGAAGAGGAAGAGGAAGGAGGAGGAGGAGGAGGAGGAGGAGGAGGAGGAGGAGGGUUAGGUGUGGCCCUCCCUCCCCCUCCCACACCACUGCAGUCCCAGCCUCUGAUUGGCCAGACCUCAGCCAAUCAGGAGAGAGACUUUAUGGCCUUGCAGGUGGAGGAAGGCCGAAGGGAACUGGAGGAGGAGAGAAAGAGACACAGGCUGGAGGUUGAAAACAUAAGGUCUAGAUUUAGAAUGAUGACAACGACCACAGCCACCACCAGCACCUCCCCCACUAGCCUGCCUUUCUCUUCAAGUCCCAGCGAGGAGCACCCGCCCUCCUCCCCACCCUCCUCUCUCAACAGAUGGGAGGUGAGAGGGAGAGAAAGAGACAAAGAGAGAAAGAGGGAGAGGACACCCACAAUUCACACUGGAAAUGUUCUGUCUUACUUUAAUGCCUCUCUUUAAUUCCUCAGGGCCUGGACAGACUGAGAGAGGAACUGAUGAAAGAGAGAGAGAGAUAGAGAUUGAAGAGAGAAUUGCAAGUGUAAGAGAGGAAGAAAGGAGGAAAUUAGAUGACGAAAAACAGAUGGAGUUUGCAGAAGCAGUGAAAGCUUUGGCGCAGGACAAGGAAAGGGUUAUUGAAGAUUUGAAGAUUAGGAUUCAGCUUCUAACAGAUGAGUGUGACAGAAGAAGAGGAGGAGGAGGAGGAAGGGAAAAAUGUUGGAGGACAGAUAUUGCAAGAAAAUGUUGAAUUGAAGAAUCAGAUCACCUCACUGCAGAAAAAAGUCAGAAAUUUGGAAACUGAACUGGCAAGAGCAAAACGGUUUUCAUUUGUGACGCAGCAGAGCACCACCACCACCACUGCCACCACCGCCACCGCUGCUGCCGCUGCCACCGACAUGACGGCCUCCACAGCCUCAAUGACUGUUAAUGAAGACACAAGAGAGAAUUUGCCACACCAAGCCAGCCCACUCCUGUCUCAUGGUACCAUCGCCUUUAAUUCCUGCCAGACUGGGGACACUGUGUUGGUGCUUUAGGGUGCACUACAUGGCCACUACAAAGUGUUGCAGGAAGGUGUCUCCUCACAACACUUGCAUUUCCUACACUCUGAUGCUUACAACUUGCUGGGAUUCACCAAAGGUGAGUGUGUGUGUGUGUGUGUGUGUGUGUGUGUGUGUGAGUAAGUGUGACUUGCUGGCCAGAGAUGCUUAGCCUUGUUUUCAAGAGCGUUUCUUCCGUCAGUAAUGCAGAAAUGUUGUUAAUCUGUUACUGCAACUGUAAAAACACUCUUGAAAUUCUGUAUCACUUCAACUACAGCCUUUUAAAAGAGUGUUUCUCCUGUCAGUAAUGGAGAAAUGCUGUUAAUCUGUCACUGCAACUGUAAAAACACCCUUGAAAACCCACAUCACUUCAAGAAGAGCCUUUUAAAAGAGUAUUUCUCCUGUCAGUAAUGCAGAAAUGGUUAAUCUGUUGCUGCAACUCUAAAAACACCCUUGAAAACCUGCAUCACUUUAACUACAGCCUUUUAAAAGAGUGUUUCUCCUGUCAUUAAUGCAGAAAUGUUGUUAAUCUGUCACUGCAACUGUAAAAACAUCCUUGAAAACCUGUGUCACUUCAACUAGAGCCUUUUAAAAGAAUGUUUUUCCUGUCAGUAUUGCAGAAAUGUUAUUAAUCUGUCACUGCAACUGUAAAAACACCCUUGAAAACCCGCGUCACUUCAACUAGAGCCUUUUAAAAGUGUGUUUCUCCUGUCAGUAAUGUAGAAAUGUUGUUAAUCUGUCACUGCAACUGUAAAAACACCCUUGAAAACCUGCAUCACUUCAACUCCAGUCUUUGCAAACUAGUGGAGGUGCGGCCAGAAAUUUUGUAAAAUAUAUUCUUGUGUAUGUGUGUGUGUGUGUGUGUGUGUGUGUGUGUGUGUGUGUGUGUGUGUGUGUGUGUGUGUGUGUGUGUGUGUGUGUGUGUGUGUGUGUGUGUGUGUGUGUGUGUGUGUGUGUGUGUGUGUGUGUGUAGAUAGAUAGAUGGACAAACAGACAAACAGACAGACUAUUUAUCUCCAUGUUUGAGUGACUGACAGGCUGGCAGGCUGGCUGGCUAACUGACUGACUGACUGACUGACUGACUGACUGACUAAGUGACUGACUGACUAAGUGACUGACUGGUGGCUGGCUGGCUGGCUGGCUAACUGACUGACUGAAUGACUGGCUAGCUGGCUGGCUGGCUGGCUGGACAAUAUAAAUUAAGCUGGCUGGCUGGCUGGCUGGACAAUAUAAAUUAAGCUGGCUGGCUGGCUGGCUGACUAACUGUCUGGCUGGCUGGCUGGCUGGCUUGCUGGCUGCCCAGCUGACUAACUAACUGGCUGGCUGGCUGGAUGACUGACUGACUAAAUGACUGACUGGCUGUCUGUCUGGCUGGCUGGCUGGCUGGGUGGCUGGCUGGCUGGCUGGCUGACUGACUGACUGACUGACUGACUGACUGACUAAGUGACUGACUGACUGACUGACUGACUGACUGACUGACUGACUGACUGACUGACUAAGUAAGUGACAGACUGACUGACUGAUUGACUGACUAAGUGACUGACUGACUGAUUGGCUGGCUGGCUGGCUGACUGACUGACUGAUUUACUAGCUGGCUGAAUGACUGAUUGACUGACUAAGUGACUGACUAAGUGACUGACUGACUGACUGACUGACUGACUGACUGUGUGGCUGGAUGACUGACUGACUGACUGACUGUGUGGCUGGCUGACUGACUGACUGACUGACUGACUGACUGACUGACUGACUGACUGACUAGAUGACUGACUGACUAAGUGACUGACUGACUGACUGACUGACUGACUGACUGACUGUGUGGCUGGCUGACUGACUGACUAACUGACUGACUGACUGACUGACUGACUGACUGACUGACUGACUGACUGUGUGGCUGACUGACUGACUGACUGACUGACUGACUGACUGACUGACUGACUGACUGACUGUGUGGCUGGCUGACUGACUGACUGACUGACUGACUGACUGACUGACUGACUGACUGUGGCUGGCUGACUGACUGACUGACUGACUGACUGACUGACUGACUGACUGACUGGCUGGCUGGCUGGCUGGCUGGGUGACUGACUGACUAACUGACUGACUGACUGACUGACUCGCUGACUGACUGACAGUGACUCGCUGAAUGAUUGACUAAUGAACAAAAAUGAACACACACACACACACAC